rnacentral:rRNA from 1 species
GUGGGGAAUAUUGGACAAUGGGCGAAAGCCUGAUCCAGCCAUGCCGCGUGUGUGAAGAAGGUCUUCGGAUUGUAAAGCACUUUAAGUUGGGAGGAAGGGCAGUAAGUUAAUACCUUGCUGUUUUGACGUUACCGACAGAAUAAGCACCGGCUAACUCUGUGCCAGCAGCCGCGGUAAUACAGAGGGUGCAAGCGUUAAUCGGAAUUACUGGGCGUACAGCGCGCGUAGGUGGUUCGUUAAGUUGGAUGUGAAAGCCCCGGGCUCAACCUGGGAACUGCAUCCAAAACUGGCGAGCUAGAGUACGGUAGAGGGUGGUGGAAUUUCCUGUGUAGCGGUGAAAUGCGUAGAUAUAGGAAGGAACACCAGUGGCGAAGGCGACCACCUGGACUGAUACUGACACUGAGGUGCGAAAGCGUGGGGAGCAAACAGGAUUAGAUACCCGAGUAGUCC